GGCGGCGGCUCGGACCCCGGCAGCCCGCCCGGCUCCCGCGUCCUCCUGCGCGCCUCGUCUUCCCCACGCGCGGAGCGGGCGUGUCCGGAGCCAGCGGAAUGGACGCCGAGCGGGGCCGCGCGCCUGUGGGACUCGGUGCUCGGGGUGCUCAGAGCGCGCAGGCUGCUGCCACCGUGGCGGGGUGACCGGCCGCCGACGGCGCGAGGGGUCCCCCCCACCCCCUUCAGGCUACUCUCGGGGCCCACCCUGCCGGUGGAGCCCAGGCCCGGCCCUCUUGCUGGGAGUCUAGUGUCAUUUGUGAUAAGAAGGGACGCUUACAAGCAAAACUGGACGUGAGAUGUGUACUCGCUGGAGUAGUCUAGGGGCCCAGCUCUCCUCCGCCCUUCCCACCACAGGGCCUUUGCUCGGGUUGGUCUUUGUGACUGAUAUGCCCUCACUACGUCCCGGCUUCGUGCGGAUGACUCCAGCAUGGCUAAUGUUUCUUGCUACAGUAUUUCUUCCCCAAAGUGCAUCCGUCCCCUCGUGCUCCCCCACCCCCACCCCGAGAUGCUGCACUUGUCACAGAGCAUGUUGUCUUUUGAUCCCAUCAGAAUGCAAACUCCCUGAGAGUCCGGGAUCCACAAAUGCAUCAAGUUGAAAGCAAUUUGCUUAGAAUUGGAACAAAAAUGUUUUCAGAUACACAGAGUAAAAAAUUUGGAGUUCGUAACGGUGUUGGGUGAAAAUUGGCAUCCUUCCGACCCCUGACCUCCAAGACCUGGCUCCCCUUUCCUGGGGCAGUUUCUUAUAUGUUAACGCAGAAAAUCUAUGUUUGUACAUCCAGUGUAUUUAUACAAAACUCUGCUCACUGUGCACGGGAUCCUGUUACUCAGCAUAGCUUGGAGAGCAUUGUUUGUGUUCUGACGUAGAGAUCUAGGUCGUUUGUUUGCAUCGAAGCACCAUAUUGUGUUAGUCCUAUAAUUGGGUAGAAAUUUAGGUUCUUUCUAGGCUUUUUGUAAUAAGCAGCGCUAGACUGAUUAUCCUUGUCCAAAAGUCUUUGUACCCAAGUAGGAAUGUUUUUGUAGGCUACAUUUUUUAGUGCAGGAGUGCUAGGUCAAAGGGCUUUUCGUAGGUCUCUAAAUGCCUGUGUGAUCUCUCAACAGGGUCAUACCAAAGGAGGGGCCUAGGGUCCUGCACCGCUGAUGCUUGAUUUUGCAGAUCUGGGACUCCUGCCCACAGAGCGGCCGGCACAGCCCACAGAUGAGGUCUGAGAUCCCAAUUACUGCCAGGAGUAACGACUUGUGGGGCCACCCUGUGGGGAACAACCAGGACGCAGCCCCGACCGCUUUGCGCACAUCCUCUGCAAGAAGGUGCCUGCCUCUGCCCUGAGUGUGGCCUCGACCCACACCUGCUGGGGGGACCGCGUGCUCCAGGCCCCAGGUGGGGCUGCUGAUGCCAUGUUUCCCCAACCACCCCCCUCUUCCUCCACUCUGUAGGUCGGUGCCCACCUACCACCUAUGCCCUGAUCUGACUCCCAGCUGCCUUGCCCUAGACCUUGAGCCCCUUGAGGGCAAGAUGCUGGGGGGAAUGGCUCUGAGCUCAAUAAACAUCCCUGGAAGCAA